UUGCACUGUCUUUGAACCUUCUUGGUCUCAUCCGUGACCUCGUGGGCCAACUUUCAGUGCUAAAGCAAAGACUUGUUUAUAACUGGGGCCUCCUGGCAACACCUCCAGGUUGCUCUUUUAAGAGCAAGUGACAGCU